rnacentral:lncRNA from 10 species
GUACUCAAGAGUGGCAGCAAGAAACGUAAGCAUGGAAGAGUCCAGGCACUGGGCACAGCAGAUCUCCCACAAGAGGUGUCCAAACAUAUCAUGGAGAAUUGCAGCUCUGCUCUUGCUAAGAAGAUGAUCUGGAUCUUCAGCCCUCAUCUUGGACCAUGAAGAAUGGAAAACGAAUGUCAGGGGUGAUGGAGCAGAGACAUCCCUAAAGGCUUCCUGAAGCUGCCAUGCUGGCCCAGGCUACAUAAAUCCAAUCAGCCGAUUAGCACAGUGAAGAUUUAUAAAAUCCAAGCCAAAACUUUGCCGCACUUUUUUCUUUCAUAAAUGUGAAAAUGUCCUUCUUACCUGGCCCCCAGGUCUUUUUAUUUCUGAAUCUCAAUAAAUCAGCCUAGUGGGCUUCUGUUCAACCAGUUGAAAAAGCAGGAAUGCCUGACAUCAGUAAGACUAUCCUUACUCAGGAAG